GUCAUUUUAAGUUCUAAUGCAGUGACACUGUCUUUUAUGUUUUGUCUUUUAGCGCAUUGUGUCUUUUCUAUCCUUCUAUUCUCUUCUUUUGGGAUCGUUUAUACGAGGUGUUUUUGGUCUUUUAAUUCAACUGUGUUAGGUGUCGGCAACUUUAGUCAUAUAUUUGUCUGAAUGGUUUUAUUUGUUUGUGUCAGCUCCCUCAAAUUCUCUCUCAUUGUCGACUCUCUCCCUCCCGAGUUCUCUCUCAAUUCAGACCCUUUCUCUUUUCUCUCUUCGUCUUCUCUCUUCUGUGCAUCUUCUCUCUUCUUUUGGUUCUUCAAAUUUGCUUUUAGUGUUGGGUUUAUUUUUUCCUUUCAUUUUGUUGAAGCUGAUUUUUUUCCUUGUCUGAUGUGCAUGUUUUCACCUUCAGUUUUGUGGUGUUCGAUUUGUGUUGAUCGACUGCGUCUUCAAUUUUGUGGGGGUCUAGAUCUGACUGGUUUUAACAACCUUAGAGCUAUGACUGAGGCCGAGGCUCUCAAAAUGAGGAACUACAGGGUCUCAAGUUUUUUCAUGUCGUUGCACCUGGUUUGAGGAUUGUAGAUGGGUUUUGGUCUCUAGAUUUCUUAACAAAAUAGAUUGAUUUCUUUUUUCUUUUUUGCUUUGCGUGCAGUGGUUGAUAUCCAAGAUUUGAUUUCUCUUCGUGUUCAUCUCUGCCUCUUCUCUCUUCAGCCCACCCCGAGCCCUAUCUCCCUCUCUACAACUGAUGUAUGGACCACGACGUCAACAACAGAGCCGUCGGCAAGCUCUGCACCACGCUAAGUCACCCCAGAUCUGCCAUUUCUCUUCUCGAUCUCCUCCACCGAGAAUUAGAAGUAGAGGAUUCGGAUCCACUGCAGGUCAGCACUCAGAUCCACCAUGGAUCUCACGUUUGUUGCUUUCUCAGCAAUUGCUUUUUUGUACAGUAUGUUGGUGUGACUCUUUCAAAGUGAGGAGAUGUUUUGGCCACUCAAUAAGAGGGUUGGAAGGCAAGGUUAUCAGUUAUAGGUUUUUCUCAUUUAUCACAAAUCUGUUGAAUGUGAGGCCCAAAAAAAAAAAAAGUGUGUCGUAGUGUUUGGUUUGAGUUUUUUCUUGCUCAGUCUUUGUUCAGGUGAGCUGUGAGUAUUGACCCCCUUGGUGUUGGCAGCAAUCCAUGGGAAGAUUUUUUGCGUGCAUAAGCUUUUUCAAGCAGGAGCGAAUAUACUAAUGUUUGAUUCUCUACAUCGAAGAACCUGCUUGCAUUAUGCUGCUUACUAUGACCAUUCAUAUUGCCUGCAAGCUAUUCUUUCUGCUACUCAUUCCACCUCUGUUUCAGAUUCUUGAGAUGGGACUACAGCCAACGGGACUGCAAACGGAAAGGCUGGUGGUAGAAAGCCAAGUCUCACGCUGGGCAGAAAAAAAAUAAAAAAGAAAUGCAUUCGCAUGGGAUUUCGUUUGAUGGAGGCAAGAUGACGUGCAGCUGGGAAGAA